rnacentral:rRNA from 1 species
GCCUCAGUAACGGCGAGUGAAGCGGCAAGAGCUCAAAUUUGAAAUCUGGCCCCUCCGGGGUCCGAGUUGUAAUUUGCAGAGGAUGCUUCGGGUGCGGCCCCUGUCUAAGUGCCCUGGAACGGGCCGUCAGAGAGGGUGAGAAUCCCGUCUUGGGCAGGGUGCCCGUGCCCGUGUGAAGCUCCUUCGACGAGUCGAGUUGUUUGGGAAUGCAGCUCAAAAUGGGUGGUAAAUUUCAUCUAAAGCUAAAUACCGGCCGGAGACCGAUAGCGCACAAGUAGAGUGAUCGAAAGAUGAAAAGCACUUUGAAAAGAGAGUUAAACAGCACGUGAAAUUGUUGAAAGGGAAGCGCUUGCAACCAGACUCGGCCUCGGGGUUCAGCCAGCAUUCGUGCUGGUGUACUUCCCCGGGGCCGGGCCAGCGUCGGUUUGGGCGGCCGGUCAAAGGCCCCAGGAAUGUAUCGUCCUCCGGGACGUCUUAUAGCCUGGGGUGCAAUGCGGCCAGCCUGGACCGAGGAACGCGCUUCGGCACGGACGCUGGCGUAAUGGUCGCAAACGACCCGUCUUGAAACACGGACCAAGGAGUCUAACAUCUACGCGAGUGUUCGGGUGUCAAACCCGUACGCGCAGUGAAAGCGAACGGAGGUGGGAGCCCCCCCGGGGCGCACCAUCGACCGAUCCUGAUGUCUUCGGAUGGAUUUGAGUACGAGCGUAGCUGUGGGGACCCGAAAGAUGGUGAACUAUGCCUGAAUAGGGUGAAGCCAGAGGAAACUCUGGUGGAGGCUCGCAGCGGUUCUGACGUGCAAAUCGAUCGUCAAAUUUGGGUAUAGGGGCGAAAGA